UACGGGGGGGGCAAGCGUUGUUCGGAAUUACUGGGCGUAAAGGGCUCGUAGGCGGCCAACUAAGUCAGACGUGAAAUCCCCAGGCUCAACCUGGGAACUGCGUCUGAUACUGGAUGGCUUGAAUCCGGGAGAGGGAUGCAGAAUUCCACGUGUAGCGGUGAAAUGCGUAGAGAUGUGGAGGAACACCAGUGGCGAAGGCGGCUUUCUGGUCUGUAACUGACGCUGAGGCGCGAAAGCGUGGGGAGCAAACAGG
rnacentral:rRNA from 1 species